CGGGGCGUAGCUCAGCCUGGUUAGAGCGCCUGGUUUGGGACCAGGAAGUCGAAGGUUCGAAUCCUUUCGCCCCGA
rnacentral:tRNA from 2 species